UACGUAGGCAGCGAGCGUUGUUCGGAGUUACUGGGCGUAAAGAGUGCGUAGGCGGUUUUCUAAGUUUGGUGUGAAAUCUCCCGGCUUAACUGGGAGGGUGCGCCGAAGACUGGAAGGCUAGAGUAUGGGAGAGGUAAGCGGAAUUCCUGGUGUAGCGGUGAAAUGCGUAGAGAUCAGGAGGAACACCGGUGGCGAAGGCGGCGCCCUGGCCGAACAUUGACGCUGAGACGCGAAAGCGCGGGGAGCGAACGGG
rnacentral:rRNA from 1 species